rnacentral:misc_RNA from 1 species
UUUCCGUAGGUGAACCUGCGGAAGGAUCAUUAACAAUUUGUGUUUGAUGGCACUUUUCUUUCCCAUAUCUACCAUCUGUGCAUUGUUAUAUCAUAUUUCGAAUGCUGGUCUUUUGAGCAACAGGAAGUAAACAUAACCUCUUAUCUUUAACAACUUUGUCUAAAACCUGUAUGAUUAUUUAAUUCAAAUACAACUUUCAACAACGGAUCUCUUGGCUCUC